AUUGAACGCUGGCGGCAUGCCUUACACUUGCAAGUCGAACGGCAGCACGGGUGCUUGCACCUGGUGGCGAGUGGCGAACGGGUGAGUAAUACAUCGGAACAUGUCCUGUAGUGGGGGAUAGCCCGGCGAAAGCCGGAUUAAUACCGCAUACGAUCUACGGAUGAAAGCGGGGGACCUUCGGGCCUCGCGCUAUAGGGUUGGCCGAUGGCUGAUUAGCUAGUUGGUGGGGUAAAGGCCUACCAAGGCGACGAUCAGUAGCUGGUCUGAGAGGACGACCAGCCACACUGGGACUGAGACACGGCCCAGACUCCUACGGGAGGCAGCAGUGGGGAAUUUUAGACAAUGGGCGAAAGCCUGAUCCAGCAAUGCCGCGUGUGUGAAGAAGGCCUUCGGGUUGUAAAGCACUUUUGUCCGGAAAGAAAUCCUUGGCCCUAAUACGGUCGGGGGAUGACGGUACCGGAAGAAUAAGCACCGGCUAACUACGUG
rnacentral:rRNA from 1 species